rnacentral:piRNA from 1 species
GCUGGACCUGAGUGAUUAAUCUUG